rnacentral:rRNA from 1 species
CGGUGAAGCCAAGCUUGCUUGGUGGAUCAGUGGCGAACGGGUGAGUAACACGUGAGCAACCUGCCCUGGACUCUGGGAUAAGCGCUGGAAACGGCGUCUAAUACUGGAUAUGAGCUCUCAUCGCAUGGUGGGGGUUGGAAAGAUUUUUCGGUCUGGGAUGGGCUCGCGGCCUAUCAGCUUGUUGGUGAGGUAAUGGCUCACCAAGGCGUCGACGGGUAGCCGGCCUGAGAGGGUGACCGGCCACACUGGGACUGAGACACGGCCCAGACUCCUACGGGAGGCAGCAGUGGGGAAUAUUGCACAAUGGGCGGAAGCCUGAUGCAGCAACGCCGCGUGAGGGAUGACGGCCUUCGGGUUGUAAACCUCUUUUAGCAGGGAAGAAGCGAGAGUGACGGUACCUGCAGAAAAAGCGCCGGCUAACUACGUGCCAGCAGCCGCGGUAAUACGUAGGGCGCAAGCGUUAUCCGGAAUUAUUGGGCGUAAAGAGCUCGUAGGCGGUUUGUCGCGUCUGCUGUGAAAUCCCGAGGCUCAACCUCGGGCCUGCAGUGGGUACGGGCAGACUAGAGUGCGGUAGGGGAGAUUGGAAUUCCUGGUGUAGCGGUGGAAUGCGCAGAUAUCAGGAGGAACACCGAUGGCGAAGGCAGAUCUCUGGGCCGUAACUGACGCUGAGGAGCGAAAGGGUGGGGAGCAAACAGGCUUAGAUACCCUGGUAGUCCACCCCGUAAACGUUGGGAACUAGUUGUGGGGACCAUUCCACGGUUUCCGUGACGCAGCUAACGCAUUAAGUUCCCCGCCUGGGGAGUACGGCCGCAAGGCUAAAACUCAAAGGAAUUGACGGGGACCCGCACAAGCGGCGGAGCAUGCGGAUUAAUUCGAUGCAACGCGAAGAACCUUACCAAGGCUUGACAUAUACGAGAACGGGCCAGAAAUGGUCAACUCUUUGGACACUCGUAAACAGGUGGUGCAUGGUUGUCGUCAGCUCGUGUCGUGAGAUGUUGGGUUAAGUCCCGCAACGAGCGCAACCCUCGUUCUAUGUUGCCAGCACGUAAUGGUGGGAACUCAUGGGAUACUGCCGGGGUCAACUCGGAGGAAGGUGGGGAUGACGUCAAAUCAUCAUGCCCCUUAUGUCUUGGGCUUCACGCAUGCUACAAUGGCCGGUACAAAGGGCUGCAAUACCGUGAGGUGGAGCGAAUCCCAAAAAGCCGGUCCCAGUUCGGAUUGAGGUCUGCAACUCGACCUCAUGAAGUCGGAGUCGCUAGUAAUCGCAGAUCAGCAACGCUGCGGUGAAUACGUUCCCGGGUCUUGUACACACCGCCCGUCAAGUCAUGAAAGUCGGUAACACCUGAAGCCGGUGGCCCAACCCUUGUGGAGGGAGCC